rnacentral:rRNA from 1 species
AACGCUGGCGGCGUGCCUAAUACAUGCAAGUCGAGCGAACAGACGAGGAGCUUGCUCCUCUGACGUUAGCGGCGGACGGGUGAGUAACACGUGGAUAACCUACCUAUAAGACUGGGAUAACUUCGGGAAACCGGAGCUAAUACCGGAUAAUAUAUUGAACCGCAUGGUUCAAUAGUGAAAGACGGUUUUGCUGUCACUUAUAGAUGGAUCCGCGCCGCAUUAGCUAGUUGGUAAGGUAACGGCUUACCAAGGCAACGAUGCGUAGCCGACCUGAGAGGGUGAUCGGCCACACUGGAACUGAGACACGGUCCAGACUCCUACGGGAGGCAGCAGUAGGGAAUCUUCCGCAAUGGGCGAAAGCCUGACGGAGCAACGCCGCGUGAGUGAUGAAGGUCUUCGGAUCGUAAAACUCUGUUAUUAGGGAAGAACAAAUGUGUAAGUAACUAUGCACGUCUUGACGGUACCUAAUCAGAAAGCCACGGCUAACUGCGUG